UUUAACAAUCCAAUAUAAUUUGAAUUUUUAUAAUUAAUACAAACGCAUAAAAAUUAAUAUAAAAACGAUUUCCCUAGUUAAAUAUCAUCUAGAAAACCUAACAAAACCAUAAAACUUGUUUCCAAUCGCGCGCGGAGAAAAUUGACACUUGUAUCGCAAUCGAUAAGCAAUCAAUCGCACUCGUAACUUCGAUACCAUCACAGAUUAUCAACGAUUCACAGCGUUGGCGGUACACGUGCGAACAUCGAGUAAAUAGAAGAACAUUUCGCGGUGAAACGUUGAUAAUCCGGGGAUUUUCGAAGCACAGAUUGAAGCACAUAAUCGAUACAACAAUGGAUGAGGUCUGAAUACACUUUGGGAAACGGUGCACGACCACGCUACGCAGCCAUCUUGUGUCGAUUUAUCGAAACACUUGUAACGGCCUGCAUUUUU